UAAAACCAUGAUUUCACAUUAUGUUUGCUAGACUUAGAUACGCUUUUUAUAAAGCAGACUUAGAUACGCUUUACAACAAUCCUUGUACCAGAGCAGACGAGCUCGAAGUACUCUCGAGAGCCGAAGGACGGCAGCUGACACGGCGGCGCGAAGACCCCUCUCUUUUCUUCCAUGGCGUCUGGUGACAACGCUCCUCCGGAUGGCGGACGGCGGCCAGCCGCAACACGCUGGUGCGCGACGUCAUCUUCCUCCUCCAGAACCAGAUGCAAAGAUAGCAAGGGACGUUUUGUGGAGAGAUUUGAUGUGCAUGAGCUAAUUAAGAGGGCAGUGCUGAUGGUGAAGCCGGUGGACAAAUCGGCGGUGGCGACACUAAUGCCGCCAGCACGGCGACGUCCACAACGAGUUUCGACGAGAAGAGGCAGGACAGGGCGAGUAGCAGCUGCCUAUGGCGGAGGCCUUAUUGACGACUGUUCAGGCGAAGCUGCUGACGGCACGGCGUUGGCGUCGGCGUCGGCGUCGGCGUCGGCGUGGAGCACCGAGAACGGCGAGGCGCCGCGGCUGCCGUGCUCCCAUCGACGUGGUUGAGGCCCUAGAGUUCACCAACAAUGACGGCGCGGCGCCCUUCGUCCUCAACAUGCAGCUCCGACGAGGCACGCUGUGGGUGCCCUGCCUCUGUGUCGACAGCAUCACCUGGAUGGUCCUGACUCCUGAGGAACAUCAUGGCGCUGGACAAGUCGCGGCGUGAGCAGUGGGAAGGGGCGGUGCCCCGAGCGGAGCGGGAUGAAGGGGGCCUGGCCGAUGGGCGUUGCGGCGGAUCUGCCCGUGCCACGGAGGAGGUGAGAGGCAGGAAGGAGAGAGAGAGGGGAUGAGAGGAGGAAGAAGAUGGGGGUAUUUUGGUCUAUAAAUUUUAAAAAAACACUGCAUAUGGUAAGUAGUGGUAUAUUUCAAAGAGUUGUAAAAUUGCGAUGGCACGGUUCGAAAUAGACGAAUUGUAAUAGUAGAUCUCCCAAUUAAAAUUAGGAGAAAUAAAACAUAAAUAGAGAAAGUUCUCAUCA